UGCAGCUUUGUCAAAUUCAGUGUGUUCUGUUCAGUGGACCUCACUGGCCAAAAUGGCUGCAACAGUGACUGUAGUUCAUGGGCCCCGCCUCCUUUACAAAUGGGCUGUGGGGAUAAAUAUGUACUACUCACAGAU